UACGGGGGGGAGCAAGCGUUGUUCGGAUUUACUGGGCGUAAAGGGCGCGUAGGCGGUCAGCACAGUCAGUUGUGAAAUCUCCGGGCUUAACUCGGAAAGGUCAACUGAUACUGUGCGACUAGAGUGCAGAAGGGGCAACUGGAAUUCUCGGUGUAGCGGUGAAAUGCGUAGAUAUCGAGAGGAACACCUGCGGCGAAGGCGGGUUGCUGGGCUGACACUGACGCUGAUGCGCGAAAGCCAGGGGAGCGAACGGG
rnacentral:rRNA from 1 species